rnacentral:rRNA from 1 species
GAUGAACGCUGGCGGCGUGCCUAAUACAUGCCAGUCGAGCGAACAGACGAGGAGCUUGCUCCUCUGACGUUAGCGGCGGACGGGUGAGUAACACGUGGAUAACCUACCUAUAAGACUGGGAUAACUUCGGGAAACCGGAGCUAAUACCGGAUAAUAUAUUGAACCGCAUGGUUCAAUAGUGAAAGACGGUUUUGCUGUCACUUAUAGAUGGAUCCGCGCCGCAUUAGCUAGUUGGUAAGGUAACGGCUUACCAAGGCGACGAUGCGUAGCCGACCUGAGAGGGUGAUCGGCCACACUGGAACUGAGACACGGUCCAGACUCCUACGGGAGGCAGCAGUAGGGAAUCUUCCGCAAUGGGCGAAAGCCUGACGGAGCAACGCCGCGUGAGUGAUGAAGGUCUUCGGAUCGUAAAACUCUGUUAUUAGGGAAGAACAAAUGUGUAAGUAACUAUGCACGUCUUGACGGUACCGAAUCAGAAAGCCACGGCAAACUACGU